rnacentral:rRNA from 1 species
UACGGAGGGGGCUAGCGUUGUUCGGAAUUACUGGGCGUAAAGCGCGCGUAGGCGGCUUUGUAAGUUAGAGGUGAAAGCCCGGAGCUCAACUCCGGAAUUGCCUUUAAGACUGCAUCGCUAGAAUCAUGGAGAGGUGAGUGGAAUUCCGAGUGUAGAGGUGAAAUUCGUAGAUAUUCGGAAGAACACCAGUGGCGAAGGCGACUUCCUGGCCUGUUCUUGACGCUGAGGCGCGAAAGCUAGGGGAGCAAACGGG